AUUGAACGCUGGCGGCAGGCCUAACACAUGCAAGUCGAACGGUAACAGGAAACAGCUUGCUGUUUCGCUGACGAGUGGCGGACGGGUGAGUAAUGUCUGGGAAACUGCCUGAUGGAGGGGGAUAACUACUGGAAACAGUAGCUAAUACCGCAUAACGUCGCAAGACCAAAGAGGGGGACCUUCGGGCCUCUUGCCAUCGGAUGUGCCCAGAUGGGAUUAGCUAGUAGGUGGGGUAACGGCUCACCUAGGCGACGAUCCCUAGCUGGUCUGAGAGGAUGACCAGCCACACUGGAACUGAGACACGGUCCAGACUCCUACGGGAGGCAGCAGUGGGGAAUAUUGCACAAUGGGCGCAAGCCUGAUGCAGCCAUGCCGCGUGUAUGAAGAAGGCCUUCGGGUUGUAAAGUACUUUCAGCGGGGAGGAAGGGAGUAAAGUUAAUACCUUUACUCAUUGACGUUACCCGCAGAAGAAGCACCGGCUAACUCCGUG
rnacentral:rRNA from 1 species